rnacentral:rRNA from 1 species
UACGGGGGGGGCAAGCGUUGUUCGGAAUUACUGGGCGUAAAGGGCUCGUAGGCGGCCAACUAAGUCGGACGUGAAAUCCCCAGGCUCAACCUGGGAACUGCGUCUGAUACUGGAUGGCUUGAAUCCGGGAGAGGGAUGCAGAAUUCCAGGUGUAGCGGUGAAAUGCGUAGAUAUGUGGAGGAACACCGAUGGCGAAGGCAGCCCCCUGGGUUAACACUGACGCUCAUGCACGAAAGCGUGGGGAGCAAACAGG